UACAGAGGGUGCGAGCGUUGUUCGGAAUUACUGGGCGUAAAGCGCGCGCAGGCGGCCUUUUAAGUCUGACGGUGAAAUGCCGGGGCUCAACCCCGUGCCCGCCGCGGAUACUGGGAGGCUGGAGACGAGUAGAGGCAAGCGGAAUUCCGGGUGUAGCGGUGGAAUGCGUAGAGAUCCGGAAGAACACCGGAGGCGAAGGCGGCUUGCUGGGCUCGGUCUGACGCUGAGGCGCGAAAGCGUGGGGAGCGAACAGG
rnacentral:rRNA from 1 species